ACAUUCUCUGAAAAUUAGUCAAGGUCCAGAGCAGUUGUGCAGAACAAACAGUAAGUUAUAGGCUUUCAGGAAACCACAUCACUGCUCUCUGCACAAAACCAGUCAGCAAAAGUGGUGAUAAUGUGAGAGCCUGUGAAACACUCACAAUAAGACAUUCUUUCUUGAGCACUGCUCUCACUUGUCAGAUGCCAAAUUUUAUUUACUAAAGCAUAUCUAGAACUUAAUACGUGAAACUGGUAAAUCCUCCAUGAAGUAUUAGCAAAUAUAUUUACACAAGAUUGGGGUUCACACAAAGUCGGAAACUUUUGAUCUGGAUUAAGCCUCACAUUUAAAGGUAUGUUUACACUGCAAAUUUCAAGUAAGAAAGUGGGGUUAACCUUGGUCACAAUGUGUCUUUGGAGAGCUGCAAUAGGUGUUUGAAGAGAUAGCAUAAAGAGAAAAAAUCCCAGAUAAAGCAGGAUUUAAAUGCACUGCUAUGUGAGUACAUAUCAAGACAAUUCAGUGCACAUUCUAGACAAAACAAAUAUGGCCCUGGAGUUUGGCCCAUGUCCUAAAAUUAUAUCUUUAGAAUAAUAUAUUUAUUCUUCUGCAUCCUAUUUUGGAAAAAGCAUAUAAACCAACAUGAUACAGCAUGAGAAAACACUAAGUUAUAAGGGCAAAUGGUCUCGACAGUCAGAGGUGCUGCCUGUCUAGACUAGGAAAGCAGCUUGUAUUAGAUAUUUCUCGGUAAUUAAUACAUUCUUAAACAAAGCUUUGUUUACUUAAGCACAACACUGUUACUAAUGCUCCCUGGUCAUACUCAGUGCUCACAAGAGCUCAGGCUCAGCUGCAACCAGGAUUUUGGCACUGGUGGCUUGAGUCUGUCUAGCACUAAUGCAAAUGGGUGCUCCUGCCUUGACACGGCCUUCAGCAGGGACGAGACUCAGACCUGCCCUCUUUACUUCAUCUACCCAUGAAAGUUGCACUGCCAUAAACCUAAAUCCAUGAAAACUCUUCUUCAUUCCCACUCCCCACCGAGCAGUCGCAGCAGCCAGGACGCAGAGCAAAGCCCCAGCAGACACAUCCUGAUGUUGUUGGGUGUUCCUCUAUCUAUAAUCCCACAGCAGUCUGUCCUCAUCAGUCUUCCGACUUAUCUGCUGUCUCCCACUCCUCUAGGGCUGGGAUAAGCAGAUGUUACCUCCCAGUUCAAGUCCUGGCAAGCAGCCCAGACCUGCCCUUUUCUGCUCACGUGGCUCAGGAGCCAGCAAACCUGCUGGAAACACUUUCCUAGCACUGAGUCCCACCCACUGAUCACAGUCCUGGGAGUGCCAUGGCCUCCGCUGCUCCCUAGAGAGAGACAAAGAACUGGAAGGCCAGGGCUGGGGAGUCAGGCUGGCCUGAAGACACUGCAAGGCUGAGGGCUGGCUUAUGAGGAGCCCCCAGGCAGACCCUCAGCACAACAGCGAGCAUGAAGGCAGCCUGAGAGGUUCUAGAUCGAUGAUCUGUGACAAGCCUUACCCAACACACUGCCCAGGAGAUAACUUGGGUAAUGUAGUUGAAGAAUACAGCAAGACUCCUGCUGUUGUUGGAGAUUACGCUCCACUCCAGCACAGGCCUGCUCUCAAAGGCUGCAGGAGCCCUAAGGUCCAUCAUCCUCCUCCAUACAGAGCAGAAGAUGACCUCCCUGCAAGGCACCAUGGUGUGCCCCAGAAACUCCUACAUCCCCUCUCCAGCCUGGCAUACAUGAGCUUUUCCUACUCCUUCACCCCAAAGGGGCUGAAAUCACAUCACCACAGGACUGCAGAUACCCCUGCAGUUCCUAGCAGGCUGAGACGCACGGCUCCUUCUCUGCUGCCUCAAGCAGACGAGCAAGAGCUGUACCCAUGACUAGCAGAAAAUGCUUGAAAAUAUGCUAGUUUGCAUGGGAAGCUAAGCUGUUGUCAAAUAAAUGCCAAAUACACACGGGUAAGGAGCUGGUGCCUAUCAGUGGUACAACUGUAUCCCACACACACACAACUAGAACAUCAGGAAGGUGGUACAGCCACAGGAUACCCCAACCUGACUUCAUCUGAAGCAAGUUAGAACAAAACAUCUCACUCUGAAGGAAAAUCCCCUUCUGUAGACAAGCCACUUUUUAAUAAUAAGUGCUAAAUGGACUAUUCAAGCAGGUAAUUAAUGUUAAUUAACAUAUGUCAGGCCAUAAAUUGGCUAAAUGCACCUCAUUUUCCAAGCUUGGUGUGUGGCAAUGCUCAGGAAAUUGUAACAGAACAGCCUAAGUUUGUAGAAGCACAAAAAGAAGAGCAAAUAAAAGGUUAAGCAUAAUCUUCACUUAACUCAUGGUGUGCUGAGCCAGCAGUACAGAAAACUGCGUGACUAUGCACAUUACUCGAACACUUCAUUUUGCUCCUGAACCGCUGUGCUAUGCACAUAUUGUCAGUCCCAAGAAAAGCCACAUCAAAAAACCCUGCAGCUCCCUGAGUGCUGCUAUCGGCCAGGCCUUUAUCGGGAUUGUCACUAUGUGCAGGACCUGGACGCACCUUCUGUUCCAGGGCCUGGCCAAGCUGUGCCCCUUUCCAGAGCCAAUUUGAGAACCGCAGUUUUCCAUGGCAAGGGGAACGAAUGGAUGUUCAGAGCUUGCCCUUCUCCAGGCACAGUACCUCCAAACGAGGAGGGCCCCUUGCCUCCAAUGCAAACUAAUAUUGCCAUUUUGUAACGCUGCCCUUGGGCACAUUUUCUGUGACAGACAAAGUAGUAAGGCUUUCUUAAAAAGUGGGAGAGAAAUAAGAACAUGCUGAGACUUUAGUCUAAGUAGCAACUUGCAUUAGGAAACACUUUCAGUUUCUCCUUUGGCAAUUCGCCACUACACCAAGACUGACUUUAAUUGCAUUGCAAAUAAGAAACAAUCCUCACAAAAGAUUUUCCAUACUUCCACGCAAAAUAGCUGGCUGCCAAAAUCUAGCAGGGCACCUUUAGGAGGCUGCCACCUAGAGAAAUGCUUUGGCUGCUUAUCCUCAGUUUUCCCUAUCUCCAAGGCAAUCCCCUCGGCUCCCUUUGAAACCAGCACACCCACCGUAGUUUUCCGGGGUGGUUUCACAGCUGUUCAUCCCGUCCACUCCCGGCGAGCUGGCAGAAACCCACCCAGCCGCUGCAGGAGGGUGCAGGGGGGCUGCCCCAGAGCUGCCCACCUUCCACUCUGGGCUGCUACUUUGUCCACAUCAGCACAAAGAGCUUUCACAAAACCACACCGCCAACCCUAAUCACUCGCCUUUCUAAAUGCACCAGCACGUGCCCAGCCUCCCCUAAUCUCCCAGGAUUACAGCAAAGUAGUGUAGCACCACCAAAAUGACCCGAAUACAAAAUGGCCUCGAGUGUAAAACACUGCUCAUUUCACCAGGACAACACCAAGCAGAGGCAGGAUGUCCCAGGGCAGAACUGCCAGGACAUUUCUCCUUCCCAGCCUCACAGUCUCAAACAGUGUUUGUCCAAGCCAGUACAAUACAUCAGAUAUAGCUGCCACUAAGGUGGAUUUAAUUUUCACUGGCAUUAACUGUGUACUUUCAAACACACAGGUAAGAGUAGAAGCCAACCUCUGACUCUCAAGCUUCCUAUUUUAAAUAUGCUCAAAUUUUAAAUAUGUACAAAUAUUGACACUAAUAAAUCUAUUAUAGGCAAUGACAAUAGCUGCAUGACUGUUUUAGGUAACCUUCUCACUCUGAACCAUGGAGGGACAUUGAUUACACCUUUUAUCAUACAGGUCUACCUGGCAGUGAUAACUAUCCAGCAAUACCAUAUCACCAUUGAUUGGAAGUUUCCCAUUCACAUCAAAAGUUGAGUUUAGCAGAGCCUGUGAUUCUUACCAGCUGAAGACAUUCACCAAGGUGAUGUGUUUAUGUCUGCAUUUAACAAGUCCUUCAGCAGAGGUGCUCCUCACUGUCACACUGGGGACCCAACAAUGUGAGUGAUUCUGAGAGAGCUACUUACUUGGUCUGUCUCUGCUCUAACAGCUGUCACCUGCCUGCAUGAGCUGGGGAAAAGUGAGAUCUCUAAUGUACAUUACAGAUAUGAAAUAACAAUAUGUGCUAAUAUCUGCACAUGGUUUCUACCGGAAAGUUUAAAAAGUCAUUUGUUAUUGUGCUACUCCAGUAUACUCCUCUUUGAUGCAAGACAUUUGUUAUCUAGUGGUUUCAACCACUGGAACCACACAUCUCUUUACACUGCUCAGCACAAAAGUCACUUACAAAUGUUUCUGAGUAUUUUGUUAAAGCACAACAUAGUAAGGCUUUGAUCAGGUAAGAUGCUUAAGCAGCAAGUUUAAGCACACAAGUAAUCCCAGUGAAGUCCCAAGGAUCCAUUCACGUGCUUAAAUCCAUGCUCUCCUUGGUAGGUCAAAACUUAAAAUAAUCAGGCUGCAGCUUGUAACUCGAACCCUUCUGCAGAGAUGAAUAAGGCAACACAAAAAUAUAUUAUAAAAAAUAUAAUAGAAGGCUGAAAAAAUAUUCCUGCUAGCAGUUAAUUGGGAAACAGAACUUUUAAAGAAAUAGAAAAGAAGUUUAUAGGUCAAUAGAGGAAAAAAAAGGAACUGACACAGACUCCAGUUCUACGUUGCCACUCCUGAUAAAGACAUUGUGUGUCAAUCCGAGGAAGGAGAAGUAAGAAGAAAGAGAGUAGUGUUACUUCCUCCUCACAUCUUUGCAAGAAGAUGAUAAAAAGAGUCCGACACAUCUUGCGUUAUCAGCAUCUGGCUAACAGAUUUAGACAUCUGUCUACAUCACUGGCAAAUUUCUCAAGCCUUUUCAAGUCUCAGUAAUUAGAGAAGAGACUCAUGCAUUUGCUACACUGAUGGGACUGCAGCCCUUUGGUACAUACUGGCCAAUGAGACAUGCUAAGAAAUGUACUAAGUUUACAAAAACCUCUCCAUCAAAGUAAAUACCCCAGCAGCUAGUGUUUAUCUUCUAUGAGGAAGAUGAAUACAACAGGUGGAAAACAGAAUAGGCUUCUGAUAUGAAAAACAAUUCAAAGCAAAUCAGCUACAUUUAAAUUUGGGAUUUGCUGGUAUCUCUGUAUAAAGGACGAGAUUCACAGUCUUGCCAUAUCACUUAACAAAGAGGAAAAUAGUCCCCCUAGUGUACUUUCCAUGUAGAAAAGACUGUUUCACAAGAUAGUGCUGCAAGAAAUUACAAAAUAACAUUGUGGGAAGAGGUAUGGAAUUACUUAAGCUGUAGCGAAACUGGGCACCUCUACUACAUACACGAAUCAAAAGGUUUUCCAGUUUCCUAUUUCAAGAUUAUUGAGGGAAGUGAGUGCUUCACCUUAAAUACCUGCGAGAUAAAACUUGGUUUUUAAGUCAGCACAGUAGUUUUGUGACUGCAGGACUUCGAUUGGGUAACAGAUACCUGAAUGAGGAAAGAUCUAGUCAUCACGGAGCUCUGUGGAAGUACCUGGAACAGUCGCCUGGCACAGUGAAUUUCACAAGGGUGAAACCAGCUCACCCUCGGAUCUGUUCCCCCCUCCGGUGAUGACGAACAUAAUACCAACCUUUCCUAAGUAUUCAAGACAGAAGCCGAUACCGGAACAUGCAUGGAAAACCCCUCCAGUGGUUUGGAAGUGUAUGGGUUUGCACCAACCGGGGCAGCCCAUGGCACACAGGAAUGUCUGGAGCGUGGCACCUCUGCAGCACUGCACUGUACACUGCUGCCCUAGUCAGCUCCAGGCACUAUUAGGUUAGCCAAUGUCCCACCAGGGCCAGGGGGUGGGGGAAGCAAAGGAGAUUGUUGGGGGGUGUAUUGGGCAAACCUUAUCCGAAUUACCGGAAACGUAAUAUAUGCCUUGCUAACCACAUCUGAAAUAUUCACUUCUGCUUUAAUGCCCUAGGCAGGAAAAAAAAAAAAAAAAA